UCACGCCUCAGACCUCACACCUCUGCUGCCGUCUAGAUUCAUCGCCACCGCUCCGUCUCACACAUCCGCUGCCGUCUCACCCUCGUUGUAUUCUCCUUCCUCUGCCAGCCGUCGCAUCUUCCCUCCCCGGCCGGCCAACGUUGCCACUUUCCUCCAUCAACAUGGUACAAGUUAGUCUUCAACCUUAGGCUGCGGGGGUUUGGGUUUAUUACUUUCAAUUCAGAGGAUGCAGUUUCUGACUUUUUACCAGAAUGGGAUAUACGAUCGUGCUUAAACACCUUGCAGUUUCUCAACAAAAAAGAAGGAUACCCUCAAUGUGGUUUUGGUGGGGUGGAUUCUGGAAGGAAAUUAGAUUUCUUGUUAUGGUCACACCAAGCUGUAGUGGUUGAAUGCAAUGAAGUUGAAUGCUAUCAACCGGAGAGAGAGUGACAACUCUGAAGCUGAAAGAGCUCAGCAUAUUAAACAACUUCAUGAACUUUAGGAGCAUAUUCAAGAGAAAGAACAUCAGUUUAUGGAAUUGCAGGAAUAGAACAGAAUUGCAAAGGAAACCAUUCUUUACAAAGACGAACAAAUGAGGGAGCCCCAUGCUUUGUUGACUCGUGCUCAGGAGAUCGAUUCCUUGCAACAAGCUGAACUACGUGAACGAGCUCAACAAUAUAAUCAGCUUUGGCUUGGUUUUUGGCGAGAGGAAGUGCUUACAUUUACAUAUGCAACAACUCCAAAUAGAACUGGCUGAGGCAAGAGAAAGGAAUGGUACUUCAACUGAUAGUUCUCAAGUCUCAAAGGAAUCUUCAAAAGAUACUUCCCAGUAUGGGCAGAACAAUGGCAACAAACUUAAUGAGAAUGGUAAUAAUGAUGCCUCUAGUGGAAACUCUGGACACAUACCAAAUGGAAAUGCCGAAAAUGCUUCAUCAUUUACUUUUAUUGGGAAUGUGUCAACUCAAAGUGAUCUCCAUGGCGUUCCACUUGCUCCUUCAUCUUUACUUGGGAUGGCAACCUUCAUUCCACCAGGUUAAAUUGCUGCAGUGCAUCCAUUUUUAAUGCAUCAAUAGGGAGUAGGUUUUUGAAUAAGCGGGGUAAGCAGUUUGGAGUGACAUCUAUCGGGUUUGCAUGUCCAACACAAAUUUCAGCAGAUAUGGUUCACUUAAAUUCCUCUUCUGUUACAUCACAUUUCAUUAAGGUUAUGGAGGAACACAAGGAUCAGCAUUUCAUUUU